CCUACGGGGAGCUGCAGUGAGGAAUAUUGGUCAAUGGACGAGAGUCUGAACCAGCCAAGUGGCGUGAAGGAUGACUGCCCUAUGGGUUGUAAACUUCUUUUAUAUGGGAAUAAAAUGUUCCACGUGUGGGAUUUUGUAUGUACCAUAUGAAUAAGGAUCGGCUAACUCCGUGCCAGCAGCCGCGGUAAUACGGAGGAUCCGAGCGUUAUCCGGAUUUAUUGGGUUUAAAGGGAGCGUAGGUGGAUUGUUAAGUCAGUUGUGAAAGUUUGCGGCUCAACCGUAAAAUUGCAGUUGAAACUGGCAGUCUUGAGUACAGUAGAGGUGGGCGGAAUUCGUGGUGUAGCGGUGAAAUGCUUAGAUAUCACGAAGAACUCCGAUUGCGAAGGCAGUUCACUGGACUGCAACUGACACUGAGGCUCGAAAGUGUGGGUAUCAAACAGGAUUAGAUACCCGGGUAGUC
rnacentral:rRNA from 1 species